UUGCCCAUUCAAGACUUGCUAUGACUUGAGUGAUUAACACAGGGGGGUAGAAGAAUUCUCUCAAAAACCUGAAGUAUUGGCUGUAUAUUCCUUGCUUCGGAUCCUGUCGUGAGAAACAAUU